rnacentral:rRNA from 1 species
GACGAACGCUGGCGGCGUGCCUAAUACAUGCAAGUAGAACGCUGAAGAGAGGAGCUUGCUCUUCUUGGAUGAGUUGCGAACGGGUGAGUAACGCGUAGGUAACCUGCCUGGUAGCGGGGGAUAACUAUUGGAAACGAUAGCUAAUACCGCAUAAAAUUGAUUAUUGCAUGAUAAUUAAUUGAAAGAUGCAACUGCAUCACUACCAGAUGGACCUGCGUUGUAUUAGCUAGUUGGUGAGGUAACGGCUCACCAAGGCGACGAUACAUAGCCGGCCCGAGAGGGUGGUCCGCCACACUUGGACUUAGACACGGCCCAGACUCCUUCGGGAGGGCGCAGUAGGGGAUCAUCGGCAAUGGGGGGAACCCUGACCGAGCAACGCCGCGUGAGUGAAGAAGGUUUUCGGAUCGUAAAGCUCUGUUGUAAGAGAAGAACGGGUGUGAGAGUGGAAAGUUCACGCUGUGACGGUAUCUUACCAGAAGGGGACGGCUAACUACGUG